rnacentral:lncRNA from 1 species
UACCCAGAAACUCAGAAUGUGACCCUAUGUGGAAAUAGGACCUUUGCAGAUGAAGGAUCACAAGAUAAUAUCAUAUUGGAUUUAUUUCUUUUUUUUAUUUGUUUGCUUGUUUGUUUUUGUUGAGAUAGAGUCUCACCCUGCCACCUAGGCUGGAAUGCAGUGGCAUGAUCUUGGCUCACUACAAUCUCCACCUCCCGGGUUCAAGCGGCCAAUACAGUAGGAAAGCAGGAGAGAGAAGAUUGACAUAAUUGGCACAGAUAAUAGCUAGGAGCAGAGAGAAAAGAUAAAAAUAGUUAAAGAGAUUUACUGGUGGCUUACACCUGUAAUCCCAGCACUUUGGGAGGCCGAGGCAGGUGGUUCACAAGGUCAGGAGAUUGAGACCAUCCUGGCCAACAUAGUGAAACCUUGUCUCCACUAAAAAUACAAAAAAUUAGCUGGGCGUGGUGGCAGGCACAUGUAAUCCUAGCUACUCAGGAGGCAGAGGCAGGAGAAUCGCUUGAACCGGGGAGUCAGAGGCUGCAGUGAGCCGAGAUCACGCCACUGUGCAGUGAGCCGAGAUCACGCCACUGCACUCCAGCCUGGUGACAGAACAAGACUCCAUCUCAGAAAAAAAAAAAGAAAAAAGAAAAGAAAAAGGAGUUAAGUUCUCUGAUUGUCAACACACUACCUGCAUGACACAUGCACAUAAAAAUUCAUGUAUGCCCAUUAAAUGCACAUAUAAGAACCCCAUGUGUGUGCACACAUGAGCAUGCAUGGGGGCACACACACAUGCACACACACACACACACACACACACACACACACACACACCUGUCUCUUUCUUUCCUCCAUGACUUAUGGGAUUGUUGUGGGUUUUUUUUUUUCCUGAUGGACUUUUCUUCUUUGAAGGAUGAAACACCUCUUAUCUCAGAGCCCAAACUGUGAGACAGCUAUAGUGGGAGGGUGGGAAGCAUGGAGGCUCAAGCUGAGUCCCUGAGAGCCUGGCAAGUGUGUCCUCAGGUUCAAAACUCAGCCUGCUGGGGUUCUCGGCUUAACUUUCUCUGGGUUGGUAUGUGCAUUUUCUAGUAGGGAUUGAGUGAAAGGCAUGUUAUUUUUAAGAAGCAGGAGGAAGGAGGAGGUUGCCUCUUUCUACUAAGUGCUGACCAACAGCUGUAAUUUUAAUGGUAGUAACUGACGAAGGAAGAGGAGGGAGGAGAUUGCCUCUUUCCACUAAGGGGUGACCAACAGCUGUAAUUUUAGUGGCAGUAACUGACAGGAACAGCUUGAUGGCAUCAUGUUUAAUGGGAAGAGACCAGCUCACCUCAUGCCCUGGUUGCUAUGUACAGAGAUCUGAGGAGUCCAUAACAAAGGCUGUGAGAGUCACUGCUUAGAGUAGAAGGAAACAGGGGCUGUCCCAGAGAAGGGGGGCUUGCUUUUGUCCAGCCCUGUUGGAAUUUAUGAGGUCUGUAGAGUGGAGUUUAUAGAAGUG